UGGGGAAUAUUGGGCAAUGGGCGCAAGCCUGACCCAGCAACGCCGCGUGAAGGAAGAAGGCUUUCGGGUUGUAAACUUCUUUUCUCAGGGACGAACAGAUGACGGUACCUGAGGAAUAAGCCACGGCUAACUACGUCGCC
rnacentral:rRNA from 1 species